rnacentral:lncRNA from 1 species
AAAAGAGACUUUUUACGUUGGACACCAUCCUUACCACUUUGUCAUAGGAAAAGAAUACCGUGCUGUUAAAAAUAUCUCAUGAAACCCACAGACUUUCAUUUCUCACAGGAAUACAUUAACAGAGCUUUCAUGCUUGUCCCAGAGUGUUUAAUUCUUCUGUAUUAAAAAAAGUAGUACUAUUUUAGAAUAAAUGUUUCUGGGCUUUAUUGAUUUUGUUUAUUAAGACCUCUUAGGGUCAGAAUGGUCCUUGUAAUUUAGAUGAGCAUGAGUAAUGGCUGCCAACUCCUGAGUCCUCUUUAAAUAAUCAUUAUUAACAGAGGUUUUGUGCAUGGUAGGGGGAGUAUACACAUGCUUUGAGAAUGUCUAUGUCUGUAGAAAGAUAUACUAAACAGGUACAUGCUGGUAUAGUUGUAUGUUAUACUAUAACUAAUUUCAUUUUUUUGCUUAAUGGAUCCUAGGCAUCAGUCUUGACUUUAUGGUUUAUUAAAUACUACUCUCUGCUGUAAUGUUGCUAUGAAACUAUCAACUUUACAGUAUUGAAUCUUACAUAAAAGGUUAUUUGUUUACUUAGUUAUUUCUGUGUUUUAGAAAAAAUGUAAAACCUUUUUAUAAGAUCAUCUAAAUAUUGCUUAAUUUGUUUUAUGAUCUGCUAUUGUAAUUAAGGUCUUUGACUACCUUCUAAUUUAUUUGUACUAUAUCUCAAUUGAAUGCUUUUGUUUCUAAUACAUUUUCAGAUAAUUUUCUUUGGCUUUUCAGACUUGAUCAUGCAAACAAUAAUUCUGUCUUAUUUUUACCUAUUUUUUUUUGUUGUAAGUCUUCUCUUAUAAUUGCACGUGUUAAUACUCUGAACCACUCAGACAACUGAUUAUGUUAGCAAAUACUGUUCUUCUCUCUAAGGUUCUAAAUGUAUUCAGUAGGCAUUAUUGUGCUAUGAUUUAAGUAUGCUUGCUGUGUAUGCUUCCAGUACUUCUAUUCUUAUUUAACUAAUUUUGUUUCUUAUUUUAGUCAAGAAGAAUUGCUUAUGUGAUAGAUUACUUGUACAAAAAAUGACUUUUAUUGUUGUUUAAGAUAGCAUUCUAUACUAUGCCUCUCCCUGAGAGACAAAUUUCCACCUAUGUCACUUCUUAGCUGUAGUGAAUCUCAGUAGUAGAUUAUUGUUUGGUUGUACUAAUGAACAUUUUCAGAAAAAUACUUUGUUUACAGAAACCUAAAAUAAAUAUACAAUAGCAUAUGAAUUAUUUAUUAGUAUUUAUGAUAUUAAAUAUUCAGAAGUUUAUUUUGAAGACCUGAUUUUUUUUUAGAUGAUGUAAUACAUAGGUUAGUGUUAGUUAUACUCGCUGUGUGAAAAGGUCUCGCAAGCUUUCCUUCCUUUGUGUUCUAGCAUGGUGUAAAUACCAUUUGAAUUGUCAUUUGAGUAUGAAAGGAUUUUAGUCUAUGAAAUUUAUUAGCAUAGUAUGUUUUCAGAUUGUAGUUCUGUAGGGGAAAAACUCAUUUGUCAUGGCUCAUGUUGUUUGUUUAUAUGUGAAAGAAAUUUCAAUACAUGUGUUCUAUGAGCCAGAUACUUGCAGGAAGGUCCCUUCAGCUUAGGAGUUUGAGAGUAGCCUUGGUGAUAUGGUAAAAAUUCUAUCUCGAACAAACAACACCAUUAAAAUUUGUAUCCUUUAAGGAUGAAAAGUGGGUUGUUAAAUCUUGAAAGAUGCCCGAGGUGGUGUGGUGCAUGCCUUCAAUCCCAGCUCUUAGAAGGCAGAGGCAGGCGGAUAUCUAUGAGUUUGUCAGCCUGGUCUCCAGAGUGGUUCCAGAACAGCCAGGGAUAGACAGAGAAACCCUGUCUCAAAUAAAACAAGAACAGAAACAAAACCCAAACAAAAACAAAACAAAAACCUC